rnacentral:piRNA from 1 species
UCGUAACUCGAAAUGGCCUUGCCGGUGU